UGAAUUUAUCACACGAUUCUCAUAUCGAGUCUUUAUUACAUGAUAAUAAAUUCGGCCGAAGGCCAACUCAUGAGAAAUAAACUAAAUAAAGCUGCGGAAGCAUAGACGAAUAGCGAGUCCAUCCGACUCCAUGGGGCAAUCGCCAAGCGUGGAUCGUAGCCUCACUCCUGGUCGGAGAACUCCUCUGCAACAUAAGACGUUGCAACCGUGUAGGUCAGCAUUUUUUAAUAUGCCGACAAGUCAAGAAGAGAGAACAACAAUAAAAUUUCUAAUACUAUAUGCAAUUUGGCUGUGGGGCUCUAAGUUUCAUUGUUUUGCGAAAAAGCCAGUUUUUUCCUACAACAAAGGACUUCUUUGCAAGUACUAUAAAAUGUUGGUAGUUAUUGAGAUGGUUCCGCCAACCAAUGUCUCAUUCCCAAUUAUUAAAUAACCUCCUCAAUUAAUUUAUUAAGUUCGGUGUUGAGAUAUCCGAAAUACUCCAAGUUCUAGAGGCUCAAAUUGUCUGUAACCGGGGACACGGCUAAUCAAUUAGGUCUUCACUCUGCAGAGGUUUGUGCACUUUACCUGCAAGAAUCAUUCCCUCCUUUAAGUCUUCGCACUGCCUGGUGUUUGAAGACAGGACAAACGAAACAGGGUCUUCCGAAGAGUUCCUCUGGGCCACUGCCGAUGCCCAUCCAAUCCUAUCGUUCUUCUACAUCUUGUAGCACCGUCCGGCCAGAGUCACGCCUAGGGUCGACCAAGCCAGAGCCCAUAAUGGCUUGCGGCUGCACAGGUAAGCUUCCGGUCAAUGGGGUAUCCAUCCGUCUCUUCGUGGCUGGGUGAAGCUUUCCGCAAGAUGUCAUGGCGCUUCUCCAUGAAUCCCGGCCAUCUGCUGGUUUCUCCAGGGUGUCCGUCAACUGUCCUCCACCCAGCAGUGAAUUUUGAAGUCCAUCUUUAGCUUCAAGUCAUGGGGUUGUCAUCAUCUUAACUCUCGCAUCUCCCUUAUGAAUCACUCAACCAACCCCGUCUACUAAAGCAUAGCAAUCAACUACAUCGUCCCGGACAUCGGUAACAAGGGAGAGGGUUCAUCCUACCUCAUGAUACUACUCAAGAACAUAACUUAACAAAUUUUUCCUACUGCAUGCAUGGUGGGGAGGUAUAAUUCUAAUGCAAUAAAAUCAUAGGUAUUGUAAAAACAUGAUCAAAUGACUUGCAUGGCUGAUGGUCUUCGAAAGCUAGCGACUCGUAAUAGCAGGCUUCGCACUCCGGGAAUUCUACCGAGUCAAACAAUAGCACAAAUAAGUAUAGCACAAUAUAACAUAACAACAAGUUGAAGUAAAACACCCAAGCACUCAAACCAAAACCAAGGAAAAACUCAAAGAAAGCAAAUCAAGGUUUUCACCACAUCAAGCAACAACUAAAAAUAGUUUUAUACUACUAAAACUUUUCUUAAUAGAACCUAAACAUGGGUUUUGCUAACUAACAGAAAGGAAAACAGCAUACAAACUAGGUGCAAAAAGAAUCACAUCACAAGCUAUUAUAGAACUCCUAUUAUGCCCAAAACAUUUCUAGCAAAGAAAUUAAUAUAAAACUUUUUACUUUGCUGUAAAUAAAAGUUCAUCCUCUGUAACUACAAAAACUAAUCUAAAAUAAAAUAUAACAUAGUAAAAAUAAAAUUAUUUACUAACUAGAACAGUAGGAAAACAAUAGCUAGCUAAAUAAACUAGAAAAACUUGAUUUCGACUAAAACUAAUUCUUUUUAAUUAAAUCUAAAAUACCCGAACAAGUUCCUACUGUUAGGCAAGGUCAAAACUAAGCAGUAGCAAAAAGAAUCACUUAAAAAUAAUAAUCCUAACUCAAUUUAUGGCAGAAAAACUAAUCUGACUAAAACUAAUAUGAAACUAUUUUUUAUAAACACAAACAUGGCCUAACCUAUUUUCUAUAGAAACUUUAGGAAAUGUGCAAACUAGGAAAAAAAGAAUCAACUAAAAAUAUUAAAUAACCUAGGAGAAACAGAUUUUACAAGAUUGGAACUUUUCUGUUUUUAAAACAGAACGUAAAUAACAGGAAAAAAAACUAACGGGCGCUAUUGGGCUCGGGUUGUUGCGAUCUGAAACUAAACAGUGCCCGGCCGUUAACUAACAUACGCAUACAGUGUAUAACUAAAAGAAACCGGUGAAACGGUUUAGAUCUAAACCUAAAAAACCCGUACACUGAAACCAAUCUAAAAAAACGAGUUACUAAACCGAUCUAAUCUACAUAACGGUUCGAUCUAAAAGAAGAAGAAAAUGAAAAGGAGAGGAGCCCUCGCUUACAGAGGGAAACGUCCGUGGCAGAGAAGAAGGGGCCGGUGGGCUGCGGGGCUCCGGUCGUCGGCGGCGUAGGCGAGGAUGUCCAGGCAAUGCGGAAGGUAAAGGGCGUCCGAUUUUCUGUGGAUGGUGAGGCGAGGGGACGUCAUGGUCGGAUACUCACCGAUGGCGAGUUUCGAUGGUGAACAGGUGGCGGCGGAGCGAGAUCGGUUCGGCGUGGGCGUGGGUUGUAGUGCGUUUGAGCAAGGGUUUUCGAAGGGGAUCGCGAGAGGACGGGUAGGGGUACUGAUAGGACGUGUUACUUGGGCGAGGGGAAGAAUUUUAGCUAGGGUUUGGCAAGGGCGCGGACGCAGCCGUGCGCGAGGUGACGAGCGAGAUACGCGGUACAGGUUGUUCGGGAGGAAGGAGAUAACGCGGUGGGGGUUCAGUGGUCAGAGGAAAAAAA
rnacentral:lncRNA from 1 species